rnacentral:rRNA from 1 species
AACGAACGCUGGCGGCAGGCUUAACACAUGCAAGUCGAACGGAUCCUUCGUGAUUAGUGGCAGACGGGUGAGUAACGCGUGGGAACGUACCCUUUGCUACGGAAUAACUCAGGUAAACUUGAGCUAAUACCGUAUGUGCCCUACGGGGGCAAGAUUUAUCGGCAAAGGAUCGGCCCGCGUUGGAUUAGCUAGUUGGUGGGGUAAUGGCCUACCAAGGCUUGGAUCCAUAGCUGGGCUGAGAGGAUGAUCAGACACACUCGGACUGAGAAACGGCCCAGACUCCUACGGGAGGCAGCAGAGGGGAAUAUUGGACAAUGGGGGCGAGCAUGAUCCAGCCAUGCCGGGAGAGUGAUGAAGGUCUGAGGAUUGUAAAGCACUUUCACCGGUGAAGAUAAUGACGGUAGCCGAAGAAGAAGCACCGGCUAACUUCGUG